rnacentral:rRNA from 1 species
CGUAUGGUGCAAGCGUUAUCCGGAUUUACUGGGUGUAAAGGGAGCGUAGACGGAGAAGCAAGUCUGGAGUGAAAGCCCGGGGCUCAACCCCGGGACUGCUUUGGAAACUGUUAUUCUUGAGUGCCGGAGAGGUAAGCGGAAUUCCUAGUGUAGCGGUGAAAUGCGUAGAUAUUAGGAGGAACACCAGUGGCGAAGGCGGCUUACUGGACGGUAACUGACGUUGAGGCUCGAAAGCGUGGGGAGCAAACAGGAUU